UACGGAGGAUGCAAGCGUUAUCCGGAAUUAUUGGGCGCAAAGCGUUCGCAGGUGGCUGUGUAAGUCUGCUGUCAAAGAGCAAAGCUCAACUUUGUAAAGGCAGUGGAAACUACACGGCUAGAGUGCGUUCGGGGCAGAGGGAAUUCCUGGUGUAGCGGUGAAAUGCGUAGAGAUCAGGAAGAACACCGGUGGCGAAGGCGCUCUGCUAGGCCGCAACUGACACUGAGGGACGAAAGCUAGGGGAGCGAACGGG
rnacentral:rRNA from 1 species